rnacentral:rRNA from 1 species
UACGGAGGAUGCAAGCGUUAUCCGGAUUUAUUGGGUUUAAAGGGUGCGCAGGUUGUUUGAUAAGUCAGUGGUGAAAGUCUGUCGCUUAACGGUAGGAUUGCCAUUGAUACUGUUAGACUUGAAUAUGGAUGAGGUAGGCGGAAUGUGUAGUGUAGCGGUGAAAUGCAUAGAUAUUACACAGAACACCGAUUGCGAAGGCAGCUUACUAAUCCAUAACUGACGCUCAGGCACGAAGGCGUGGGGAUCAAACAGGA